AUUUCAAAUGAAACAAAUUAAAUUUAACCAACUUAUCUUCUUUUCUAAACAUCUUUACCGAAUACGGGUUAAAUUUCAAAACAUUUUUUGUUUGUUCAUUUUUGUUUCCCUCCAGGUUGGUUUGCAACGCAGCUUUUAGCCUAUGGGAUCGGUGGGGGCUCCGGCUGAAUAGCAGACAACUCCAUACAACCUCCAGGACUGAGAAUGUCUUCGGAUGGAAUCUGUAAGCCACAGGAGGACGAUGCUACUAAUCGAACCUGUAGAUAAUUGCUGGUCAUCAAAUGGCGAAAAACAAAAAUGCGACGGGUGACACGAAUCGAAAAAAAACAUUACGCAGUCGGAUUUCUCGGUGGAUUCAGGCUUGCCAGAAUCAGCUCACAGCUCACUCCCAUAGUUAUUCUUCGAAAAUUCAUCGCUGCAUUAUUUCAUUCAUUGCCAUCUAUUUUACAACCGGGUUGUUCGCUUUGCUUAUAUGCCCGGAUCACCAAUUUGUCACCAAACUUGGUGAUCAUCAGACGAAUCUAAUCAGUCCGGAACUUGACGUCGUAACAGGAUUUUAGCUAGUGAGAGCAUAUAAUUAUCAGUCGCUUCAAUAAUACUGGAAUUUCCUUCGACUCAAAAGAAAUGAAGCCAUCCAACAACCUGAACGACACCGAACAAAACAAAAAUAGUUUAAAAAAUGCUCACAACAAGGACGAAUUGGGAUUUUUAUGUUUAAUAUUAAAUGUUCGUGAAAUGAAUAAUGCAGACAAUGCUUCGACUGAUCGGAGAGUUGUUGGAGGUAUGGGAGGGCCGAACCAGAUUGGAGGAAUGCAACUUUAGCCAGAGCACCCACAACCUGAACAGCAAGCCGGUGAACCAGGAGGCGCUAAAUAAAUGGACCGAACAAAAUAAAUUUAUUUAUCUGUCUGUAGAAUCUGUCAACAGAAUUCCCCAGGAAUGGAUCAAAAUCCUCAACAAAUGGACCAUGAGCCAAAUGAAUCGAAACGUUGGAAGUCCAGGUGGAAGUGCCACUGUAAGUUGGAACUUAGCAGCUAGCUCAAGCCGGAAUGGCAGGAAUAUGUCCAGGUGGACCGAAUAAUUUGCAAACAGCUCCAGGUCAACAACCAAAUCAAAAUGCACCAAAUGUUGGACCAGGUCAAAUGAAUCCUAGAAACGUGGGUCCUGGUGGAAACAUUCCCGGUAAUGAAAUGAAUCCUCAAGACAAUUCCUUAAUUAUUUCUUAUUUUGUCUUAAACCGUAGGAUGGGUCCUUCGUCUUUGCU